rnacentral:rRNA from 1 species
GAUGAACGCUGGCGGCGUGCCUAAUACAUGCAAGUCGAGCGAACGGACGAGAAGCUUGCUUCUCUGAUGUUAGCGGCGGACGGGUGAGUAACACGUGGAUAACCUACCUAUAAGACUGGGAUAACUUCGGGAAACCGGAGCUAAUACCGGAUAAUAUUUUGAACCGCAUGGUUCAAAAGUAAAAGACGGUCUUGCUGUCACUUAUAGAUGGAUCCGCGCUGCAUUAGCUAGUUGGUAAGGUAACGGCUUACCAAGGCAACGAUGCAUAGCCGACCUGAGAGGGUGAUCGGCCACACGGGAACUGAGACACGGUCCAGACUCCUACGGGAGGCAGCAGUAGGGAAUCUUCCGCAAUGGGCGAAAGCCUGACGGAGCAACGCCGCGUGAGUGAUGAAGGUCUUCGGAUCGUAAAACUCUGCUAUUAGGGAAGAACAUAUGUGUAAGUACUGUGCACAUCUUGACGGUACCUAAUCAGAAAGCCACGGCUAACUACGUG